UCCCUCCCACCCAGGUAUUUGGGUGAGAUACUGCGGCCAGCUUGGCCCACGCAGGGGAGAGGCCAGAGGUUAAGGAGGGCUUUGGGGUCAGAGCCAGUGAGGGGUCAAGGUUCAGGGUAAGGCCUGGGAAGUGUGAGUCUCUGAGCCUCAGUAUCCUCAUCUGAGGAAAAUGCAUUUGGCUCACUGAGAGGUUACACGAGAUGUAGUGAGCGUGGCGUGCGGUAGGAGGAAGCUGUUCUCUUCGUUUUUAUGAAUGGUUAUUUCUCUGCCGCUUCAGCUAAUAAAGGAAGAACUUGUCAAACAAUUCUGCAGUGAAACCUGGAGAUGGGAUUGUAUGUAGCGCGUAAUGACGACAGGUUUCUUCUUCUCUGGGCGCGGCAGGUAGGGGAGAAGGGCAGAGUGGCUUCGUGCCCAGAGGUAGGGAAGGCUCCCUGUGCAGGAGAGAGUUGAUCCACCUGUCCGGGGCAUCUCCUCAGUGAGCCUGAUGCCAUUCGGGAGCCCAAGGUGUCUCAGUUACGGAGUGACAUCGGGCCUCUGAAGGCGGGAGAGGGGAGCCCAGCGCGGCCGAGAGGGAGACGGCAGCCUUGGGGAUCGGGGCCACAGGCACGCGCAGUCUCAGGCUGUGCUCCGUUGCAUCUCCUGUCCUUGGAGCCUUAUCACCCACUGACAGAUAACCAGUCUCAGCCAGAUGACUCACAAGGGUGGUUUAACUUCUUCUGGGAUUGUUCAGGGCCAGCUCUUUGGAAAUUGGGGAAAACAAACAAAAACAGGAGGAUUUGUUUGUUUAUUUGACAAUUAUUUACUGUGCACCUGUUAUGUGAUGGCCUCUUUCUAAGCGCUCAGAAGGUGCAGAGCCCUGAGCAACAUGGACAAGGUCCCAGUUUCUUUUUUUCUUUUUUUUUUUUUUUAAAUUUCUCCCUUCCCCAUCCCAAGGUGCCAGUGUCCAUGGAGGCGAAAUCCUCCAGGAAGGGAGGACAAGAAAUAAACAAGACAUUUAAAUAAAAAGACAAAUGAGCUUGUGGUUUUGGUCGUGUUGAAGGAGCUGGACCGUUCUCCACAGAGUCUCCCACAGCCUGACCUCUGCUGAUUCUGUCCCGGGUCACUCUGUCACUGUGCCCCUGUGCCUUAGGGUGGCGGAGGGCUUGGUGGGUUCCGAGUUUGGCUUGUAUGGCACACACCCCACCAGGAAGCGGGCUUGUCACCGCCCUGCCUCUCCCCCCGCCCCGCGCCCUCUGGCCCACUCUGUUGAGACCCUCUGGCCUAGAACGUUCUAGGCCUGAGCUCUCUGUCGGGCUGCUGCAUGGCUGCCUCCCCUGUUUCUCACCGCCUCUGGCCUUAGCUCAGGCCUUCUCUUCCUGGCGAGGCCUGCCGUGGCCAUCGACGGACAGCUAGAGCCUCAGGGCAGCACUCCUGCGCCUACGGCCGCGCCGGCACAGCGCAAGCGCUCCACGAGUGUGAGCUGGACGCAUUAAAGACGGGGAGAACGCCUCCUUCCACUCUUGCUUGAGCUGUGAUGACAAUAGCAGUGACAACAAGCGUGUAUCGAGUGCCACUCUGUGCCUGACUUGCUGCAUCUAAAUGCUUGGCUCAUUUCAUCGCGACAACCUAGGGGAUGGGAUCUGGCUCUUGCUCAGGCUGGUCUCAAAC